UCCUUGGGUCAUAUCACCCUGAAUGCGAUCUCCUCUGAUCUCUGAAGCUAAGCAGGACUGGGCCUGGUUAGUAGAUGGAUGGGAGACCCCCGGGAACUUUCUCUUCAGGAC
rnacentral:rRNA from 1 species